AUAAUCUUCAUAUCUUUUGCUGCGACUAGAUUAAAAAUAUUGAGAUAUAUUUGGAUGAUUGGACUGAAAAUUCUAUAAAAUCCGCGAGUUGAACCAGUACAACCAGCAAAAUUAUAAACAGCCGACAUCCCAUGAAUUUCAUAAAAUUUUUGAACUAAUCAUCUAAGCCGACUCUUAAUUAUUUCAUUCCAAUUCCAGAUUAAAUGGUUUCUAUUAAAGUGAUACAUACCCUGUACUCGAUCAUCAACUAUUUUUCUCAGUUUGCUCUCAUAAAAUCUCAUCUGUUUUAGUCUUAUCUUGUGGCAAAUAUUUGGCGAAGUAACUAGUAUAAACAUCAACACAUCAUAUAAGAUACUCAACUCAUUUAGUAUCUACUCUUUUUUAUAACCUAGAUACACUUUGUAGCUAGACUUUUAGUUACUUUCAAAAAAAGCAAAGAUUUAAAACAAGAAAAAGAAAAAAAGUUUGGCGCCAAUGCGUUAUUCCACAUCAAUCUCUAACUAGGAUUUUACUAAUUUGUAGAGAAAC
rnacentral:lncRNA from 1 species